AAUAUUGCACAAUGGAGGAAACUCUGAUGCAGCGACGCCGCGUGAGGGAAGAAGGUCNNNGGAUUNUCAACCCCUGUCUUUGGNGACNAUAAUGACGGUACCCAAGGAGGAAGCCACGGCUAACUACGUGCCACCAGCCGCGGUGAUACGUAGGUGGCAAGCGUUGUCCGGAAUUACUGGGUGUAAAGGGAGCGUAGGCGGGUACGCAAGUUGAAUGUUUAACCUAUCGGCUCAACCGAUAGUCGCGUUCAAAACUGCGUAUCUUGAGUGAAGUAGAGGCAGGCGGAAUUCCUAGUGUAGCGGUGAAAUGCGUAGAUAUUAGGAGGAACACCAGUGGCGAAGGCGGCCUGCUGGGCUUUUACUGACGCUGAGGCUCGAAAGCAUGGGGAGCAAACA
rnacentral:rRNA from 1 species